UACAGAGGUGGCAAGCGUUGUUCAGAAUUACUGGGCGUAAAGGGCGCGUAGGCGGCCAUCUAAGUCAGACGUGAAAUCCCCCGGCUUAACCUGGGAACUGCGUCUGAUACUGGACGGCUCGAGUAUGGGAGAGGGAUGUAGAAUUCCAGGUGUAGCGGUGAAAUGCGUAGAUAUCUGGAGGAAUACCGGUGGCGAAGGCGGCAUCCUGGACCAUUUACUGACGCUGAGGCGCGAAAGCUAGGGGAGCAAACGGG
rnacentral:rRNA from 1 species